rnacentral:rRNA from 1 species
UACAGAGGGUGCGAGCGUUGUCCGGAAUUACUGGGCGUAAAGCGUGCGCAGGCGGUUAUUUAAGUCAGGUGUGAAAGCCCUGGGCUUAACCUAGGAAUUGCGCUUGAGACUGGAUAGCUUGGAGUGCGGCAGAGGGAGGUGGAAUUCCACGUGUAGCAGUGAAAUGCGUAGAGAUGUGGAGGAACACCGAUGGCGAAGGCAGCCUCCUGGGCCAGCACUGACGCUCAUGCACGAAAGCGUGGGGAGCAAACAGG